rnacentral:rRNA from 1 species
UACGGAGGGUGCAAGCGUUAUCCGGAUUUACUGGGUUUAAAGGGUGUGUAGGCGGACUUUCAAGUCCGUGGUGAAAUCUCCGGGCUCAACCCGGAAACUGCCAUGGAUACUAUUUGUCUUGAAUAUUGUUGAGGUGGGCGGAACGGGUCAUGUAGCGGUGAAAUGCAUAGAUAUGACCCGGAACACCGAUUGCGAAGGCAGCCCACUAAGCAAUGAUUGACGCUGAGGCACGAAAGCGUGGGGAUCAAACAGG